GCGGUGGGCGUGGACCGUCGAGGUGACUGGCGGUUGUCGGAUCUGCUGUUGUUUGCUGACCAGGCAGCCGUAGGAAGACUUGACUGAGCCAGGCUCAGGGGAUGUGCCAGGCUCUGGGGAUACUAUGAAAGCUAAAAGAUACACAAUCCCAGCUGUCAUGGAGCAAAGAGUUUACGAGAGAGAGACUGAUGCUAAUCAAAGAAGGACACUAACAAAUGAACCAUUGUAUAGCUUUGCCAAGGACCGUGAAGGAGAGAGACACAGCUCUGUGAAGGGGCUUUGAUGUAGGGAGGCAGCAGACGUGCAGCUGAAGCUGUCUUGGAGCCUCUAGACCAGCCCAUCCACCUGCUGAAUACCAGUGAGUGACCUACGUCAAAGCUACUAGAAGUGGAAUUGCCAGCUGAGCCCUGCCUAAAUUUCUGAGCCACACAAUCGUGAGAUACUAUAAAGUGGUAGGUUUUAUAGCAGUGUGUUACCCAGCAGUAUGGACCUGGAACAGACUACAGCACUAGUCCUGCUUUCCCUCUCCCAGUCAAUACAAAGACAGGGAUGACCUCUGCUCUGAGAGUAGCUCCUAAGCAUGUGUUUUGUGUCAUGGUGAUGGUCAAGCCCUCAGACUCUAGAGUCGUACAGACCCAAGGUCAAUUCUUACCCUCUCUACUUCGUGGCUUUGUAAAAUAGGGAUUUUUACAGGUUCCAUUCAGAGAGAUGUUGAGAAAGAUUGAGUGAGAUGCAUUUAUGUAAAGCACUUAUGCAGUGCCUGCCACAAUAAAUGCUUGCUAAAUGUUAGCUUUCAUUUAAACCAUGAGUUUUUCUCUCAAUGGACGGCAAAUCGUCACAUUCUGUGUAAAAUGAGUCUGACUUCACAAAAGUUUGCACUAACUUCAUCUCUCCCCACUGUAGGGACUAAUGAGGCCUUCUCCUCUCACCUGCUCCUUCACAAGCACAAGUCCAUUCCUUUUGUUCUUUUUGUGGCUUCCAACCUCCUGUUCUGACUAUUCGACCUACAAACCUUUAACCACACACAUACACACACACACAUACACACAUACACAAACGCACACACACACACACACACACACACACACACACGGAACAAGAGAAUGCUUCUAAACCACAAGUUCUCCUGUGGGAAAUGUGUGUAUUAAAGGAUUGAGUUCUGAAUGCCCUGUUAGCAACCACAAGCAUUUCGAUUCUAGUCUGCAUGACUUGUGAAUCACUCCUGUUUGAAAUAACUAGAAAAAUAAAGAAAUUAGGCAUUGGGAGCAGAAAUAAAGACUAAAGUAUCAGGCAAAGGAAGAGUAGAUGUUUUGCAAUGAAGCAUGAGACACUCUGAAGGAAGUUGAAAAAAGAACAAGAUGCCUGAUUCUUCCAGGAAGCAAAGAGCUAAGCUGUGUAUUAAU
rnacentral:lncRNA from 1 species